CAGUCGCCACGGUAAUACAGAGGGUGCGAGCGUUAAUCGGAUUUACUGGGCGUAAAGCGUGCGUAGGCGGCUUCUUAAGUCGGAUGUGAAAUCCCUGAGCUUAACAUAGGAAUUGCAUUCGAUACUGGGAAGCUAGAGUAUGGGAGAGGAUGGUAGAAUUCCAGGUGUAGCGGUGAAAUGCGUAGAGAUCUGGAGGAAUACCGAUGGCGAAGGCAGCCAUCUGGCCUAAUACUGACGCUGAGGUACGAAAGCAUGGGGAGCAAACAGGAUUAGAGACCCGAGUAGUCCCUGUCUCUUAUAC
rnacentral:rRNA from 1 species